UUUCCUUUGAUUUUGGGGAAGAUAAAAAUGAGUGACACUUAGAUACAUGCUAGAGAACAAAUAUAAAAGUAUUGUUUUUAAUAUUAAGUCUCGUACAGGUGAGUAUAAUUUUAGAAAAAUAUAAUUGGUUGUCGUAAAACGAUCGAUCAUAUUUAUAUGAUUAUUAACUAAUUUAAGCCAAUUAAUUUUCUUUGANCGUAUUAGGUAUAUAAUUAUUUAUUAUUCCAAAGAUGCGUAGCUAAGAGGCCACAUUACAAACGAAAAAGGUGUAAACUCGCGAGAGGCAGCAGUACAUAAUUUUGUGCAAUAUAUGAAAGUAUGACACAGAGAUGUCACAUAAAAACUGUCUAAUAUACGUGCCAGCAGACGCGGUUAUACGUAAAGUUUUAGUUUUUUUCAAAAAGGCGUAAAGAAUGUGUAAAUGAUAUUAUAAAUUUAUUAGAGUUUAAUGGAGUAAGUUGAACUUUUAUGUAGCGGUAGAAUGUUUUUAUAUAAGAUGGAAAACCUAAGGUGAAAACAGCUUACUAGAUAAAACUGUCAUUAAAACAUGAAAGUAGGGGGAACAAACAGGAUUAGAUACCCUGGUAGUCCUUACCUUAAACAAUGGAAUUCCAAUCAUCAAUAAAUUUGGUGAUUGAAAAUAACUUAAAUAAUUCGCCUGAAGAGUACAAUCGCAAGAUUAAAAUUCAAAAAAAUUGGCGGUUCACUAAACUAAUUAGAGGAGCGUGUAGUUUAAUUUGAUAGUCCACAAUAAACCUUACCAAAUUUUGUAUAUAAAGAAAAAUAAAAUUAAUUAAAUACAGGUAUUGCAUGGCCGUUGUCAGUUUGUGUUGUGAAAUAUACAGACUUAAGCUUUAUUUGUAAUUAAGUUAAUUUACUUUUAAAAGAUAACAUCAGGUCAUUAUGAUCCUAAUAAUUUGGGCUAUUUAUGCGCUACAAUAUUUUAUACAAAAAGAUAGUAAACUUUAAAGUAAAUUUCGGAUUUAUAUGUGAAAUAUAUAAUGAAGUUGGAUUUAAUAGUAAUCAGAAAGAAGAGAGUUCUGGUGAAUAAAGCUCUAGUGUUCGUACAAAUCGCCCGUCACCUCUGCCAAAUAAAUUUUUUUUGAAGUAUCAAUUUUGAUUUUAAAUAAAAAAUUAAUAUUAAAUUUAUUUUUAUAAAUUAAGAAUUUGAUAUUAUUAAAUAAUCGUAAGGGAGAGGAAGUCGUAACAUAGUGAAGGUAUUGGAAAAUGUUUUCGGAUUAAU
rnacentral:rRNA from 1 species